GCCCCCUAAACUUGGCACGAUCUUUCACUUAGACACCUUAACUAGGCUUUGUUCAUUUUAGACACUUCAUGUCAGGCUCCGUUGUGUCAUUUUGACACUUUCAGCUGACAUGGCUAAGCGAGUGUUGUACACUCGCUAUUGACGCGUGAGGGACUUAUUUAGUCUAUUUUAUUUUAUUUUUUCUCUGCUUCUUUCUCAUUUUAUAGCCAUUAUCUCUCCCAUUAUUUCUCAAAGCUUAAAGUACUUCAAUGGAG
rnacentral:lncRNA from 1 species